CUCCACCAAGAGGACAGGUGAGCAGCUCCAUAGGCAGGAACUGUAUGGACCAGAAAAUUGGCCAGCUGUUUGCGCGUCCAAAGGCAAGUUAAGUGGCUACCUUCUCCUGGAACUUCAAAUCAAAUUACCUGAUCGGGUUUAAUACUUUUAAGUUCACCUGAGGAAGUCUUAAUCAUGAUCACACUGCACAGACUGCAGACUACUAUAAAAAAUAGAUGAUGCCCAGAGAUAGCAAUGCCCCUGUGGGGCCUCACUUCUGAUUCUCUGAGGAAAGCUGAGCAGUCUUCAGAGCCACAAGAUGAGACAAAGCUGCAGCUAUGAAGAGUGGGGCAGAAGCUUUGGCAUCUUUCCCUCCCACAAACUUUCAUUAGAGGUCAAGCAAACUAUUGAGGCCUGCUAUU